rnacentral:rRNA from 1 species
CCUACGGGAGGCAGCAGUAAGGAAUAUUGGGCAAUGGAGGCAACUCUGACCCAGCCAUGCCGCGUGAAGGAUGAAGGCCCUAUGGGUUGUAAACUUCUUUUGUACGGGAAUAAACCUGGUUACGUGUAACCAGUUGAAUGUACCGUAAGAAUAAGCACCGGCUAACUCCGUGCCAGCAGCCGCGGUAAUACGGAGGGUGCAAGCGUUAUCCGGAUUUAUUGGGUUUAAAGGGAGCGUAGGCGGGAUUGUAAGUCAGUGGUGAAAGCCCGUAGCUCAACUACGGAACUGCCAUUGAUACUGCAGACCUAGAGUACACUUGAAGUGGGCGGAAUGUGUCAUGUAGCGGUGAAAUGCUUAGAUAUGACACAGAACACCAAUUGCGAAGGCAGCUCACUAAAUUGUAACUGACGCUGAGGCUCGAUAGCGUGGGGAUCAAACAGGAUUAGAUACCCUGGUAGUCCACGCCGUAAACGAUGAUUACUCGAUGUUGCGAUACACUGUCNGCGUCUGAGACGAAGACAUUAAGUAAUACCACCGUAGGGUAGGUACGGUCGCGAGACGUAGAACGUACGAAAGAAGUUAGUACGGCGUAGAGACGACCGACGACGACGACGAGGGAGGAGG